rnacentral:rRNA from 1 species
AUACGGAGGAUGCAAGCGUUAUCCGGAUUUAUUGGGUUUAAAGGGUGCGUAGGCUGACGUGUAAGUCAGAGGUGAAAUCUCCGGGCUCAACCUGGGAACUGCCUUUGAUACUGCAUGUCUGGAGUUCGGAUGCCGUGGGAGGAAUGGACAGUGUAGCGGUGAAAUGCAUAGAUAUUGCCCAGAACACCGAUUGCGAAGGCAUCUCACGAAUCCGACACUGACGCUGAGGCACGAAAGCGUGGGGAUCAAACAGGAUUAGAUACCCUGGUAGUCCACGCAGUAAACGAUGAUAACUAACCGUCGGCGAUAGACAGUCGGUGGCCAAGCGAAAGCGAUAAGUUAUCCACCUGGGGAGUACGUUCGCAAGAAUGAAACUCAAAUGAAUUGACGGGG